rnacentral:rRNA from 1 species
UACGUAGGGUGCGAGCGUUGUCCGGAAUUAUUGGGCGUAAAGGGCUCGUAGGCGGUUUGUCGCGUCGGGAGUGAAAUCCACUGGCUUAACUGGUGGCUUGCUUUCGAUACGGGCAGACUGGAGGUAUGCAGGGGAGAACGGAAUUCCUGGUGUAGCGGUGAAAUGCGCAGAUAUCAGGAGGAACACCGGUGGCGAAGGCGGUUCUCUGGGCAUUACCUGACGCUGAGGAGCGAAAGCAUGGGGAGCAAACAGG